AUUGAACGCUGGCGGCAUGCCUUACACAUGCAAGUCGAACGGCAGCACGGGGCAACCUGGUGGCGAGUGGCGAACGGGUGAGUAAUGUAUCGGAACGUACCAUUCAGUGGGGGAUAACGUAGCGAAAGUUACGCUAAUACCGCAUAUUCUGUGAGCAGGAAAGCAGGGGAUCGCAAGACCUUGCGCUGAUUGAGCGGCCGAUAUCAGAUUAGCUAGUUGGUGAGGUAAAAGCUCACCAAGGCGACGAUCUGUAGCGGGUCUGAGAGGAUGAUCCGCCACACUGGAACUGAGACACGGUCCAGACUCCUACGGGAGGCAGCAGUGGGGAAUUUUGGACAAUGGGGGCAACCCUGACGCAGCAACGCCGCGUGAGUGAGGAAGGUUUUCGGACUGUAAAGCUCUGUCGAGCGGGAAGAAGUGUACCAUGGCUAAUAUCCAUGAUAUUUGACGGUACCGCUAGAGGAAGCACCGGCUAACUCCGUG
rnacentral:rRNA from 1 species